CCUACGGGUGGCUGCAGUAGGGAAUCUUCCGUAAUGGACGAAAGUCUGACGGAGCAACGCCGCGUGAGCGAAGAAGGUCUUCGGAUCGUAUAGCUCUGUUGUUAGGGAAGAACAAGUACGGGAGGAAAUGACCGUACCUUGACGGUACCUGACGAGGAAGCCACGGCUAACUACGUGCCAGCAGCCGCGGUAAUACGUAGGUGGCAAGCGGUGUCCGGAAUUAUUGGGCGUAAAGCGCGCGCAGGCGGUCUUUUAAGUCUGAUGUGAAAUCUUGCGGCUCAACCGCAAGCGGUCAUUGGAAACGGGGAGACUUGAGUGCAGAAGAGGAAAGCGGAAUUCCACGUGUAGCGGUGAAAUGCGUAGAGACGUGGAGGAACACCAGUGGCGAAGGCGGCUUUCUGAUCUGUAACUGACGCAGAGGCACGAAAGCGGGGAGAGCAAUCAGGGUUAGAUACCCGGGUAGAC
rnacentral:rRNA from 1 species